rnacentral:rRNA from 1 species
UACGGAGGGUGCAAGCGUUAUUCGGAUUGACUGGGCGUAAAGCGCGCGUAGGCGGCUUGCUAAGUCUGAUGUGAAAUCCCUGGACUCAAUCCAGGAAGUGCAUUGGAUACUGGUAGGCUGGAGUACAGGAGAGGAGAGCGGAAUUCCCGGUGUAGAGGUGAAAUUCGUAGAUAUCGGGAGGAACAACAGAGGCGAAGGCGGCUCUCUGGACUGUCACUGACGCUGAGGCGCGAAAGCGUGGGGAGCAAACAGG